GUGCCAGCAGCCGCGGUAAUACCGGCAGCCCGAGUGAUGGCCGAUAUUAUUGGGCCUAAAGCGUCCGUAGCUGGCCGGGGAAGUCCGUCGGGAAAUCCACUCGCUCAACGAGUGGGCGUCCAACGGAAACUGCACAGCUUGGGACCGGAAGGCUCGAAGGGUACGUUCGGGGUAGGAGUGAAAUCCCAUAAUCCCGCACGAACCACCGAUGGCGAAAGCACUUCGAGAAAACGGAUCCGACAGUGAGGGACGAAAGCCAGGGUCUCCAACCGGAUUAGAUACCCGAGUAGUCC
rnacentral:rRNA from 1 species